rnacentral:lncRNA from 12 species
UCAGGUCCUGGCCCAUUGUCACAGGGGUUGUUGUUGGGUUCCUGGAUUGUCCUGAGAGACGGCAGUCUGACUUCCUGCAGAUCUGACUUACAGCAGGCAGGUUCCUUGGGCGGGUGGCUGCGGUAAGGGGCCUGGAUCACUGUAGCAAUUUGUUAUUGGGCAGCCACAGGGAACUCAUCUGAGGACCCGCCUAGGCAACCUGUCCUGGCAAACCUGCCUUGUUUUCAGUUAGGACUACAAAGGGCUGAUCCUGGACGUGAUGGCGAGCCAGAAGCAAACCCUGUGGAUACUGCACAUCACCUUCACAUAAUCUGAACCCCUGAAACUAUGGGGAGGCCGUUUGGGACUCCCAGUACCCUGGACAGCCGGCAGACCCAGAUGUGAAUCCUUUCUGGACAGAGGUAACAUCAUCCUAAACUUCUAGGUUAUAAAUCCGGUGUUUAUGCACAAGAACAGAUUACUAGGCACACAAGGAGUCAGGGUAACAUGAAAGCUCUGCUGGAACCACAGGCCAUGGACACAGCCACCCAGGACACCCAGCCACGGAGCUAAGAGAUGAGAAUUUUGAG